rnacentral:rRNA from 1 species
AAUGCGCGAAAGCGUGACGGAGCAAUGCCGCGUGCAGGAUGAAGCGGUUCGCCGUGUAAACUGCUGUCAGAAUCCAGGAAGAACUGACCAGAUUCAGAGGAAGGGCCGGAUAAUCUCGUGCCAGCAGCCGCGGUAAGACGAGAGGCCCGAGCGUUAAUCAGAAUCACUGGGCUUAAAGGGUGCGCAGGCGGAUUGGUAGGUGUGCUGUGAAAUCCCUCGGCUCAACCGAGGAAUUGCGGUGCAAACCCCCAAUCUUGAGGCAGGCAGAGGUCGUCGGAACGUUCGGUGGAGCGGUGAAAUGCGUAGAUAUCGAACGGAACGCCAAAGGGGUAGCCAGACGACUGGGCCUGUCCUGACGCUCAGGCACGAAAGCGUGGGGAUCAAACAGGAUU